ACUUCAGGAGGGGAAGAGAGGAAGUGCGCUGGGCAAAGAGGAAACGAUGUCACAGGACACACUUUUGCUGUCUUUGCUGCUGUCGCCUAAGAGGUGGACACAGCUCCCGAGGACUUACGCUAGAAGCCAAGCCAGUCUCCUCACCUGAAAAAUGGGAAGAGCAAAAUAUCCUACCCUAGAGGGUUGCUGUGAGAGCCGAAAGCGUCUAUCCACGUGAAGCACAUGGGACAGAGCCUGGCACAAAGAAAAUGCUUCCCAGGAUGACCCAGGAGAGAGGCACAAAUGUGAUGAGCAAGACAGUCUGAGAUCUCUCUGGAAGUCCUCUACCCCACCCGUGAGUGCUCUGCAGCCAGGAACACAGGUAGAAGAUAGGCAGAAGACCAAUGCCUCAGCCCAGCCUCCCUGGAAGAUGAGGAUCUGUCCCAAACAGUGGGGACACAGGAAUCCCAAGUGGAGCCACUCCCUUCUCCAGGUUUGAUUCCGUAGCCCCUUGACCCAUCCUUUCCAUAACCUGUAUUCCAGGGGCUGUGAGGUCUCUUGGGCUUCCAUUUGCGUGCUUCCCUGAGCAGCAAGGCUGCAUCGAUCUUGUUCUUUGUGUUUCCCAGCCUUGUUGAGAUACAACACACCAAGGGCAUUUGAUAAAUGCUUUGUUAAAUAAUGAUAACGCCACCUCUGUUGAGCACUCACUCUGUGCCAGGGGCUUUACUAACCACAGGUGUGAUUUCACAUAAUCCUGACAAGCAGCCAAUCAUCUCCAUUUUAUAGGCAAACAAGUUGAAGCCCAGGGUUACAUGGUGGGUAGAUGGCAGGGUCAGGACUUGAACCCAGGCAGUCUCGCUCAAGAGGCCCCUCCCAUAACCAGCACACCACUUGGCCCAUGGCAGGUAACAACUGAAGGUUCUAAGGGAGCCCAGUGGAGGGGAGCUGAGGCCUUGGAGAUGACACCCGAGCUUGGGUUUGAAGGAUUAGGAAGACUUAGCCAGUGAAAAAGGUGGGAAGAGACCCCCUAAGUGAAGAGGAAAGCAUAAGCAAAUGUACCAAGGUGGGAGGUUCAUGCAGAGUGACAGGAAGCUCCCGAAGCUGCUUCCAUGUUGCUGUGUAAUCGGAAUGUGGAAACGAGAGGGGAUGCAGGGUGCAAAGACCAGCAAAGGAAAUCUGCUUUAUUUUGUAGGCAAUGGAAAGCCCUGAUGGAGCCCGGUGUAAACUAUGCAGGGUGCCAGAGCCCCCACUGACAGCGCUGGUGUCCACAUGUGGUCACAGGGAUACAGCGGCAGCAUCCCAAAGCCCUAGCCUGGUCCAUCACCCUCAAAACUGCCUCUGGUUUGUCCAAGUCUACCAGGAUUCAAGUUCAUUUCAGAAAAGCAGUGGCCAGAAACCAAGGCCUGGAGGGGGCUGGGGAGGUGUCAGGGAAGGGAUCAGAGGCCAAGCUCUGUGUUUCCUCAGACAAAGAGAGAAAGCAGGCUGAGAGAUGGCGGCAGCAUGUGACACCUGGGCCACAGGCCUGGGCAGCAGCCGUGGCAGCCAAGGGGAUAAUGGCUCUCUUUGUCCUGCGUGUAAAUUCUCCGGAAAAGAAAGGAUUCCAGGGCCUGCUUCUCCGGCUUGCACAAUGCUGGCCGCCUGGGGCCCCACUGCGAGGGCCUGCCAUGGCAUUCGGGGAGCAGUGAGGCCCCUUCUCUGUCUCGUUCCUUCCAGGCGUGCAGAAGCGGAAAGUCAGGCUGCCGUGCCAGACAUUCUGCAGGGGGUUGGGAGGCUGGGCUGAGGCACAGCCUGUGCCAGGAGCUUUGUUUCACAGCCUCGAGGAAACCAAAGCAUCUUGAAGCUCUGAAUUAGAAAGAGUCUUAGAGAGCAUCCAUGCCAGCUCUUCCUAAUACUUGUCCCACCCCCUACCUUCUCUGCCUACCACUCCCCACUCCCCUGCCUUCAGCAGCCAAGAAUGGUUACAAACACAGGCUUUGGAGUCAGAGAGGGCUGAGUUCAAAUGCUGACAAUGCCACUCACAAGCUAUUUCAUCUCUAUGGGCUUCAGUUUCUCCACCUGCAAAAUGGACAUAAUAGCACCUACUCAUAAGAUUGUCAAUAGGAAUAAGUGAGAAAAUGCAUGUACCAUGCUUAAUGUGGACACAGCCUCCAGAAGCGCUCAAUAAGGGUAGACGGUCCAGUAGGUCACCCAGCCUGUACUUGAUUUCCUCCAAGGGCAGGCAAUCACUGCUUGCAUUCCAUUUUCAGACCAAGUUCAAAUCUGUCUCUUAUACCCUCAUGGGUGCUGAGGGUAAAGGGGAGAGGGCCUACAUACAUUAAACAUUUCCUACAUGUUACUGUUGCCAUAAAUUACUCACAGAACUUAAGGGCCUGUCUUAGUCUAUUUGUGUUGCUAUAAAGGAAUACCCGAGGCUGGGUAAUUUAUAAAGACAAGAGGUUUAUUUGGC
rnacentral:lncRNA from 1 species